rnacentral:lncRNA from 1 species
CGCUAUCUGGAGCUGACCGUGCGGCUCUUAAUCCCUGGCCUUGGGAAAGUGAAUUGGCCUGAAUAGCAAGGAGGAGAACUUGGGUGUGGAAAUACCGGAGAAUCUCACUCUAUUGCUCAGGCUGGAGUGCAGUGGCCACAAAGCGGGAGAUUGGCACGAGGGAUACCAACACCGGAAUAUGUGAUGAGAUGUGUGAAGAGCAUGGCAAUGGAUGCAAACUCCCUUUGUGUUUCUGGCUUUAAGCAGCUCUAUACUCUCAUGCUGUCCUACACUCAGCAGCAAUUUGUCACAAGUUUGGGAAAUUCUUCCUACUCUUUUGAACUCCAGCCCAAUUUCCUUUCUAUCACUGCCCUAGGUCUUACUCUUCCAGAAGAAAAAGGGAAAACCCAACCUGAAUGUCCCCUAAAAGUGAAGAAAUGUCCACACUUCUAUGUGCAGAUUGGUAUCUACAUACAGACCUCUUGGAGGAGUCAGACAAACAAGAUCUUGAAUCUUUACUGAUCU